CUGCACUCAGGGCUGACUUAGCAACCUUGACCUCAUGUGUCAGAAGAUUUGGGAUAUUUUUUUAUUAUUAUUAUUUUAAUGACACCUUUGGAUGGAAUAUAAAAGGGAUGGUAACAUGCAGAAAAUGGUGUACCCCGCCUUGUGCCCGAUGCUCCCUGGGAUUGGCUCCAGGUUCCCCGCGACCCUGAAGACGGAGUAAGAGGUUUCUUGCUUUUGUUGGACUGGGAUUUGCAGUGCUGGGGGGGGGAAAUCAGUCCCAAGAGGAUAAAGAAUAGCUUUUAUUAACCUGGACCUACUUGUAUCAGUAUGAAGAUGCAUCACAGCACGAUGGAC
ensembl:lncRNA